ACUUGUCAUUCCUUCAGCCCUGCUGGGGAACAUUCCAGCCAGGAGGGCCUGGAAGGGGCUGUGGAAGGGGUUGUGGAAAGGGCUGGGCAGAGCUCACACCCCCGAGGUGUGGGACAGUCCUGCACACAUGUUCAGGGUGAUUUUCUAUCAGCAUAAAUCACGCAGGACUCCAUUUUCUUUAUGAAGGAUAAAACCUAUUCUUUAUUCACAUAACUCAUUUUUAUACAGUUUUACAGACCCCAAAUGUGAUUCCAAUUGGUUAGUAGCUUUCUGAACAGUACUUUAUUGGUUAUUACUUGUCCAUCAAGUCUUUCUAUUCUUAAUUUCCUGUGUGCGUAAGUACUUGUCAUUCCUUCAGCCCUGCUGGGGAACAUUCCAGCCAGGAGGGCCUGGAAGGGGCUGUGGAAGGGGUUGUGGAAAGGGCUGGGCAGAGCUCACACCCCCGAGGUGUGGGGUGGCCAUGCACGCGUGUUCGGGGUGGUUUUCUAUCAGCUUAAAUCACGCAGGAA